rnacentral:rRNA from 1 species
GACGAACGCUGGCGGCGUGCCUAAUACAUGCAAGUUGAGCGAUGAAGAUUGGUGCUUGCACCAAUUUGAAGAGCAGCGAACGGGUGAGUAACGCGUGGGGAAUCUGCCUUUGAGCGGGGGACAACAUUUGGAAACGAAUGCUAAUACCGCAUAACAACUUUAAACAUAAGUUUUAAGUUUGAAAGAUGCAAUUGCAUCACUCAAAGAUGAUCCCGCGUUGUAUUAGCUAGUUGGCGAGGUAAAGGCUCACCAAGGCGAUGAUACAUAGCCGACCUGAGAGGGUGAUCGGCCACAUUGGGACUGAGACACGGCCCAAACUCCUACGGGAGGCAGCAGUAGGGAAGCUUCGGCAAUGGACGAAAGUCUGACCGAGCAACGCCGCGUGAGUGAAGAAGGUUGUCGGAUCGUAAAACUCUGUUGGUAGAGAAGAACGUUGGUGAGAGUGGAAAGCUCAUCAAGUGACGGUAACUACCCAGAAAGGGACGGCUAACUACGUG